rnacentral:rRNA from 1 species
AAUAGAUACCCGGGUAGUCCACGCCCUAAACGAUGUCUACUAGUUGUUGGUGGAGUAAAAUCCAUUAGUAACGCAGCUAACGCGUGAAGUAGACCGCCUGGGGAGUACGGUCGCAAGAUUAAAACUCAAAGGAAUUGACGGGGGCCCGCACAAGCGGUGGAUUAUGUGGAUUAAUUCGAUGCAACGCGAAAAACCUUACCUGGCCUUGACAUGCCACUAACGAAGCAGAGAUGCAUUAGGUGCCCGAAAGGGAAAGUGGACACAGGUGCUGCAUGGCUGUCGUCAGCUCGUGUCGUGGGAUGUUGGGUUAAGUCCCGCAACGAGCGCAACCCUUGCCAAUAAUUGCCAUCAUUUAGUUGGGCACUUUAUUGGGGACUGCCGGUGACAAACCGGAGGAAGGUGGGGAUGACGUCAAGUCCUCAUGGCCCUUAUGGCCAGGGCUUCAUACGUAAUACAAUGGUCGGUACAGAGGGUUGCCAACCCGGCGAGGGGGAGCCAAUCCCAGAAAGCCGAUCGUAGUCCGGAUUGCAGGCUGCAACUCG